ACCCAAAAUGUGUGGGACUCGUGAUUAGAGAAUCCUGAUUCUCAAUCACAGAGUCCCAGACAUGUAGGACUCAUAGUCCACAAACAUUAAGACUCUUCAUCAGCCAUCAGAUCAUAUAGGAAUCUCUAAUGUGUGUGACCCCGUAGGUUCGAACCUAAGCCGGUAGCACAGGAACCAAUUCCUGUACUAAUCGAAGUGACCAUCUAGCAAUGGUACCCGAUAUCCAGAU
rnacentral:lncRNA from 1 species